AGAGUUUGAUCCUGGCUCAGAUUGAACGCUGGCGGCAUGCCUUACACAUGCAAGUCGAACGGCAGCGCGGGGCAACCUGGCGGCGAGUGGCGAACGGGUGAGUAAUAUAUCGGAACGUACCCUGGAGUGGGGGAUAACGUAGCGAAAGUUACGCUAAUACCGCAUACGAUCUAAGGAUGAAAGCAGGGGACCGCAAGGCCUUGUGCUCCUGGAGCGGCCGAUAUCUGAUUAGCUAGUUGGUGGGGUAAAGGCCCACCAAGGCAUCGAUCAGUAGCUGGUCUGAGAGGACGACCAGCCACACUGGAACUGAGACACGGUCCAGACUCCUACGGGAGGCAGCAGUGGGAAUUUUGGACAAUGGGCGCAAGCCUGAUCCAGCAAUGCCGCGUGAGUGAAGAAGGCCCUCGGGUUGUAAAGCUCUUUUGUCAGGGAAGAAACGGUGAGGGCUAAUAUCCCUUGCUAAUGACGGUACCUGAAGAAUAAGCACCGGCUAACUACGUGCCAGCAGCCGCGGUAAUACGUAGGGUGCAAGCGUUAAUCGGAAUUACUGGGCGUAAAGCGUGCGCAGGCGGUUUUGUAAGUUUGUCGUGAAAUCCCCGGGCUCAACCUGGGAAUGGCGAUGAAGACUGCAAGGCUAGAGUUUGGCAGAGGGGGGUAGAAUUCCACGUGUAGCAGUGAAAUGCGUAGAUAUGUGGGGGAACACCGAUGGCGAAGGCAGCCCCCUGGGUCAAAACUGACGCUCAUGCACGAAAGCGUGGGGAGCAAACAGGAUUAGAUACCCUGGUAGUCCACGCCCUAAACGAUGUCUACUAGUUGUCGGGUCUUAAUUGACUUGGUAACGCGGCUAACGCGUGAAGUAGACCGCCUGGGGAGUACGGUCGCAAGAUUAAAACUCAAAGGAAUUGACGGGGACCCGCACAAGCGGUGGAUGAUGUGGAUUAAUUCGAUGCAACGCGAAAAACCUUACCUACCCUUGACAUGGAUGGAGUCCCGGGGAGAUUUGGGAGUGCUCGAAAGAGAACCAUCACACAGGUGCUGCAUGGCUGUCGUCAACUCGUGUCGUGAGAUGUUGGGUUAAGUCCCGCAACGAGCGCAACCCUUGUCAUUAGUUGCUACGAAAGAGCACUCUAAUGAGACUGCCGGUGACAAACCGGAGGAAGGUGGGGAUGACGUCAAGUCCUCAUGGCCCUUAUGGGUAGGGCUUCACACGUCAUACAAUGGUACAUACAGAGGGCCGCCAACCCGCGAGGGGGAGCUAAUCCCAGAAAGUGUAUCGUAGUCCGGAUUGUAGUCUGCAACUCGACUGCAUGAAGUUGGAAUCGCUAGUAAUCGCGGAUCAGCAUGUCGCGGUGAAUACGUUCCCGGGUCUUGUACACACCGCCCGUCACACCAUGGGAGCGGGUUUUACCAGAAGUAGGUAGCUUAACCGCAAGGAGGGCGCUUACCACGGUAGGAUUCGUGACUGGGGUGAAGUCGUAACAAGGUA
rnacentral:rRNA from 1 species